rnacentral:rRNA from 1 species
AAGGAGGUGAUCCAGCCACACUGGGACUGAGAUACGGCCCAGACUCCUACGGGAGGCAGCAGUAAGGAAUCUUCCACAAUGGACGAAAGUCUGAUGGAGCAACGCCGCGUGCAGGAUGACGGCCUUCGGGUUGUAAACUGCUUUUAUAUGGGAAGAUUAUGACGGUACCAUAUGAAUAAGGACCGGCUAACUACGUGCCAGCAGCCGCGGUAAUACGUAGGGUCCAAGCGCUAUCCGGAAUCACUGGGCGUAAAGCGUGCGUAGGUGGGUGUUUAAGUGCAAUGCGAAAUCGCGUGGCUCAACCACGUCGACUGUGUUGCAUACUGGAUACCUAGAGGACGGCAGAGGCAAGUGGAAUUACCGGUGUAGGAGUGAAAUCCGUAGAUAUCGGUAGGAACACCAAUGGCGAAGGCAGCUUGCUGGGCCGUUUCUGACGCUGAGGCACGAAAGCGUGGGGAAGCGAACCAGGAUUAGAUACCCUGGUAGUCCACGCCGUAAAACGAUGCACACUACCAGUCUGAAGUAUCGACCCUUUGGGCUGGGUAGCUAACGCGUUAAGUGUGCCGCCUGGGGAGUACGAUCGCAAGAUUAAAACUCAAAGGAAUUGACGGGGACCCGCACAAGCAGUGGAGGAUGUGGUUUAAUUCGAUGCUACGCGAAGAACCUUACCGAGGCUUGACAUCCCUGGAACCCCCUGGAAACAGGGGGGUGCCUUCGGGAGCCAGGUGACAGGUGCUGCAUGGCCGUCGUCAGCUCGUGUCGUGAGAUGUUGGGUUAAGUCCCGCAACGAGCGCAACCCUUGUCGUGUGUUGUAUUUUUCACGCGAGACUGCCCGGGCAACCGGGAGGAAGGUGGGGAUGACGUCAGGUCAGCAUGGCCCUUACGCCUCGGGCUACACACGUCCUACAAUGGCCGGUACAACGGGUUGCUAAACCGCGAGGUGGAGCUAAUCCCAGCAAAACCGGUCCCAGUUCGGAUUGCAGGCUGCAACUCGCCUGCAUGAAGUCGGAAUUGCUAGUAACGUGGGUCAGCAUACCACGGUGAAUACGUUCCCGGGUCUUGUACACACCGCCCGUCACACCACGAAAGUAGGCAAUACCCGAAGUAGGCGCAGCCAACCUCUACUCAUAGGGGAGGCGGUCUGCGAAGGUAGGGUCUGCGACUGGGGUGAAGUCGUAACAAGGUAACC